rnacentral:lncRNA from 1 species
UUGGGUUCAUCAAAAAGGGACAUUCUUCCAUGAUGUGGUCUGUGGCAUUACAUCCAUUACAAGUAAAUGUUAAAACUUGGUUCACUUGGGUGUGUCCCUUGAGUUUUAAGGCCUUUAACCUACGUAGUAUAGUAUCUAUUUUGGCCUCUGUAGCUAGGGAUGUGGAUACUUGGUGCAUAGCACCUCUUGUAGGUUCCCUAGUUGCUUCCCACUGCAGGCUCUUUUCUGCUAGGUCCUCUAAGAAUUGUCAGGCUUCAUUGGCUUUCUUAUGCAUAAACUGGCCCUGACACAUUAACUCUAGCAUGGUUCUAAAGUUUGGGUCUAGUCCCUCAUAGAAGGUUUGGCAUAGUUUUCAAGUCUCAAUUUCAUGGUCUGGGCAUUGGGUUAAAAGGUUCUUGAAAUGAUCAAAACACUUCUAGAAAGACUCACCCCCAAAUUGAUAAAAUUGGUUAAUUUCAUUUCUUAACUUAGCUAUUUUAUGAUGUGAAAAAAAAUUUCUCAAAAAAGUUUUUACAAAUCCAUCCCA